UACGGGGGGGCAAGGCGUUGUUCGGAAUUACUGGGCGUAAAGGGCUCGUAGGUGGUUUGUCGGCGUUUGUUCGUGAAAACUCACAGCUUAACUGUGGGCGUGCGGGCGAUACGGGCAGACUGGAGUACUGCAGGGGAGACUGGAAUUCCUGGUGUAGCGGUGGAAUGCGCAGAUAUCAGGAGGAACACCGGUGGCGAAGGCGGGUCUCUGGGCAGUAACUGACGCUGAGGAGCGAAAGCGUGGGGAGCGAACAGG
rnacentral:rRNA from 1 species